rnacentral:rRNA from 1 species
AUUGAACGCUGGCGGCAGGCCUAACACAUGCAAGUCGAGCGGAUGAAGGGAGCUUGCUCCUGGAUUCAGCGGCGGACGGGUGAGUAAUGCCUAGGAAUCUGCCUGGUAGUGGGGGAUAACGUCCGGAAACGGGCGCUAAUACCGCAUACGUCCUGAGGGAGAAAGUGGGGGAUCUUCGGACCUCACGCUAUCAGAUGAGCCUAGGUCGGAUUAGCUAGUUGGUGGGGUAAAGGCCUACCAAGGCGACGAUCCGUAACUGGUCUGAGAGGAUGAUCAGUCACACUGGAACUGAGACACGGUCCAGGCUCCUACGGGAGGCAGCAGUGGGGAAUAUUGGACAAUGGGCGAAAGCCUGAUCCAGCCAUGCCGCGUGUGUGAAGAAGGUCUUCGGAUCGUAAAGCACUUUAAGUUGGGAGGAAGGGCAGUAAGUUAAUACCUUGCUGUUUUGACGUUACCAACAGAAUAAGCACCGGCUAACUUCGUG